CUUCGGGUAAAGCCAACUCCCAUGGUGUGACGGGCGGUGUGUACAAGGCCCGGGAACGUAUUCACCGUGGCAUGCUGAUCCACGAUUACUAGNGAUUCCAACUUCAUGCUCUCGAGUUGCAGAGAACAAUCCGAACUGAGACGGCUUUUCGGGAUUGGCUUCCCCUCGCGAGGUNGCAACCCACUGUCACCGCCAUUGUAACACGUGUGUAGCCCAGCCCGUAAGGGCCAUGAGGACUUGACGUCAUCCCCACCUUCCUCCGGCUUGUCACCGGCAGUUUCUCCAGNGUGCCCAACCAAAUGAUGGCAACUGAAGACGAGGGUUGCGCUCGUUGCGGGACUUAACCCAACANNNCACGACACGAGCUGACGACAGCCAUGCAGCACCUGUAUCCGAUCCAGCCGAACUGAAGGAAAGCGUCUCCGCUAACCG
rnacentral:rRNA from 1 species